rnacentral:misc_RNA from 1 species
GUUCAGAUUGGUUUGGCCUUGAGUGGGGAUGAAAUGGAAGCUUUUGCUUCUUUAUUUGUUGACGGCCUCAAACAUCUUUAAUGGUUGGUUACCGAUCGAGAGAGCAGAAAUAGCAGCCUCUAGGGGAGGACUCCGGUGAACCCAAUUCAGAUGAUCAGAAGGCUAAUUUUCUUCAAGGAAAAUCUUUUGAGAAUGGACUUGUAUUAGCAAUUUAGUCUGAAUUUGCUGGAAGAAAUAAAAAGUUGUAAUGUAAUAAAAAUGUAAUUGGCCGUGGCGAGAAAUGCGCAUUGACGCAAAUGUAAUAAAAAGUUAU